UACGUAGGUCCCGAGCGUUGUCCGGAUUUAUUGGGCGUAAAGCGAGCGCAGGUGGUUUAUUAAGUCUGGUGUAAAAGGCAGUGGCUCAACCAUUGUAUGCAUUGGAAACUGGUAGACUUGAGUGCAGGAGAGGAGAGUGGAAUUCCAUGUGUAGCGGUGAAAUGCGUAGAUAUCAGGAGGAACACCGGUGGCGAAGGCGGCUUACUGGACUGUAACUGACGUUGAGGUUCGAAAGCGUGGGUAGCAAACAGG
rnacentral:rRNA from 1 species